GGUUAAGCGACUAAGCGUACACGGUGGAUGCCCUGGCAGUCAGAGGCGAUGAAGGACGUGCUAAUCUGCGAUAAGCGUCGGUAAGGUGAUAUGAACCGUUAUAACCGGCGAUUUCCGAAUGGGGAAACCCAGUGUGUUUCGACACACUAUCAUUAACUGAAUCCAUAGGUUAAUGAGGCGAACCGGGGGAACUGAAACAUCUAAGUACCCCGAGGAAAAGAAAUCAACCGAGAUUCCCCCAGUAGCGGCGAGCGAACGGGGAGCAGCCCAGAGCCUGAAUCAGUGUGUGUGUUAGUGGAAGCGUCUGGAAAGGCGCGCGAUACAGGGUGACAGCCCCGUACACAAAAAUGCACAUGCUGUGAGCUCGAUGAGUAGGGCGGGACACGUGGUAUCCUGUCUGAAUAUGGGGGGACCAUCCUCCAAGGCUAAAUACUCCUGACUGACCGAUAGUGAACCAGUACCGUGAGGGAAAGGCGAAAAGAACCCCGGCGAGGGGAGUGAAAAAGAACCUGAAACCGUGUACGUACAAGCAGUGGGAGCACGCUUAGGCGUGUGACUGCGUACCUUUUGUAUAAUGGGUCAGCGACUUAUAUUCUGUAGCAAGGUUAACCGAAUAGGGGAGCCGAAGGGAAACCGAGUCUUAACUGGGCGUUAAGUUGCAGGGUAUAGACCCGAAACCCGGUGAUCUAGCCAUGGGCAGGUUGAAGGUUGGGUAACACUAACUGGAGGACCGAACCGACUAAUGUUGAAAAAUUAGCGGAUGACUUGUGGCUGGGGGUGAAAGGCCAAUCAAACCGGGAGAUAGCUGGUUCUCCCCGAAAGCUAUUUAGGUAGCGCCUCGUGAAUUCAUCUCCGGGGGUAGAGCACUGUUUCGGCAAGGGGGUCAUCCCGACUUACCAACCCGAUGCAAACUGCGAAUACCGGAGAAUGUUAUCACGGGAGACACACGGCGGGUGCUAACGUCCGUCGUGAAGAGGGAAACAACCCAGACCGCCAGCUAAGGUCCCAAAGUCAUGGUUAAGUGGGAAACGAUGUGGGAAGGCCCAGACAGCCAGGAUGUUGGCUUAGAAGCAGCCAUCAUUUAAAGAAAGCGUAAUAGCUCACUGGUCGAGUCGGCCUGCGCGGAAGAUGUAACGGGGCUAAACCAUGCACCGAAGCUGCGGCAGCGACGCUUAUGCGUUGUUGGGUAGGGGAGCGUUCUGUAAGCCUGCGAAGGUGUGCUGUGAGGCAUGCUGGAGGUAUCAGAAGUGCGAAUGCUGACAUAAGUAACGAUAAAGCGGGUGAAAAGCCCGCUCGCCGGAAGACCAAGGGUUCCUGUCCAACGUUAAUCGGGGCAGGGUGAGUCGACCCCUAAGGCGAGGCCGAAAGGCGUAGUCGAUGGGAAACAGGUUAAUAUUCCUGUACUUGGUGUUACUGCGAAGGGGGGACGGAGAAGGCUAUGUUGGCCGGGCGACGGUUGUCCCGGUUUAAGCGUGUAGGCUGGUUUUCCAGGCAAAUCCGGAAAAUCAAGGCUGAGGCGUGAUGACGAGGCACUACGGUGCUGAAGCAACAAAUGCCCUGCUUCCAGGAAAAGCCUCUAAGCAUCAGGUAACAUCAAAUCGUACCCCAAACCGACACAGGUGGUCAGGUAGAGAAUACCAAGGCGCUUGAGAGAACUCGGGUGAAGGAACUAGGCAAAAUGGUGCCGUAACUUCGGGAGAAGGCACGCUGAUAUGUAGGUGAAGCGACUUGCUCGUGGAGCUGAAAUCAGUCGAAGAUACCAGCUGGCUGCAACUGUUUAUUAAAAACACAGCACUGUGCAAACACGAAAGUGGACGUAUACGGUGUGACGCCUGCCCGGUGCCGGAAGGUUAAUUGAUGGGGUCAGCGCAAGCGAAGCUCUUGAUCGAAGCCCCGGUAAACGGCGGCCGUAACUAUAACGGUCCUAAGGUAGCGAAAUUCCUUGUCGGGUAAGUUCCGACCUGCACGAAUGGCGUAAUGAUGGCCAGGCUGUCUCCACCCGAGACUCAGUGAAAUUGAACUCGCUGUGAAGAUGCAGUGUACCCGCGGCAAGACGGAAAGACCCCGUGAACCUUUACUAUAGCUUGACACUGAACAUUGAGCCUUGAUGUGUAGGAUAGGUGGGAGGCUUUGAAGUGUGGACGCCAGUCUGCAUGGAGCCGACCUUGAAAUACCACCCUUUAAUGUUUGAUGUUCUAACGUUGACCCGUAAUCCGGGUUGCGGACAGUGUCUGGUGGGUAGUUUGACUGGGGCGGUCUCCUCCUAAAGAGUAACGGAGGAGCACGAAGGUUGGCUAAUCCUGGUCGGACAUCAGGAGGUUAGUGCAAUGGCAUAAGCCAGCUUGACUGCGAGCGUGACGGCGCGAGCAGGUGCGAAAGCAGGUCAUAGUGAUCCGGUGGUUCUGAAUGGAAGGGCCAUCGCUCAACGGAUAAAAGGUACUCCGGGGAUAACAGGCUGAUACCGCCCAAGAGUUCAUAUCGACGGCGGUGUUUGGCACCUCGAUGUCGGCUCAUCACAUCCUGGGGCUGAAGUAGGUCCCAAGGGUAUGGCUGUUCGCCAUUUAAAGUGGUACGCGAGCUGGGUUUAGAACGUCGUGAGACAGUUCGGUCCCUAUCUGCCGUGGGCGCUGGAGAAUUGAGGGGGGCUGCUCCUAGUACGAGAGGACCGGAGUGGACGCAUCACUGGUGUUCGGGUUGUCAUGCCAAUGGCACUGCCCGGUAGCUAAAUGCGGAAGAGAUAAGUGCUGAAAGCAUCUAAGCACGAAACUUGCCCCGAGAUGAGUUCUCCCUGACUCCUUGAGAGUCCUGAAGGAACGUUGAAGACGACGACGUUGAUAGGCCGGGUGUGUAAGCGCAGCGAUGCGUUGAGCUAACCGGUACUAAUGAACCGUGAGGCUUAACCUU
rnacentral:rRNA from 1 species